GAGACUUUAAUUUAAUUGGUAAAAUAAAUGACUUUUAAUCAUUAGUAUAGGGGUUCGAAUCCCUUAGGUCUUA
rnacentral:tRNA from 1 species